CAUUAUCUCCUACAAAGCCAAUGGGCCAGGCACAAACAAAAUUAAUAAGGUAGGAUUUAAAUGCAUCCGCAAUAGAAACGAGCUCAUCAUCAACAAUUUUCGAAGAAACCAACAUUUCCAUUUAAACCUCAGUCAGUUAGAAUAAUGCUCAGAAUUAUUAUGUAUGCAAAUAUUUUACAUAUUUCAUUCGGGCUUGAUAAAAAAUUUUAAUAUAUAGUUCUCUGCCUUAAGGAUACGUAUGUAUAUAUGUAGUUAUUCUGUCCCGCCAGAUCUAAUAAAAAUCUGAGGGUUAUUUGCUUAGUUAGUUCUGUACUAAUUAGAUUUACUAAAGGAAAAUUAUUUAACUUUGAAAUGUAGAGAGGGUAUUUCCUGCAUUUUUACCUUAAGUUCCUAGGCUUUUUUGCUUUGGCUCCAAGAGCUUAAUAACGCAGAAUUUCGGCAAUAUAUUUGCUAAUCUAACCAUUUGCAACUUUUUAAUCGGCAAACAAGUUCAACUUACGAAACAAUCAAUACAAAGUGGAUAACUACAACUAUUUACUACAGCAAAUAGGCAUACAAAACCAAUACAAAUAAUAACGCUAACUACAACUACAACUACAAAUACAACAAAAACAUUAUUAGCCCUGCUUAAAUUUGUAUUUAUUAGCUACAUAUAUUUAGAAUAAACUUAAUUUAAGCAGAAGUAAUUAUAAAUACGACAUAAAUUAACAAAUACCUAUUAAAAUAAGGGCAUAGAUUUCGGUGUAGAUGGCUAAAGCUAAACUAACUACUAUAACCAAUAAAGAAGACUGUAAAUACUAAUUUUAUAUCUCCACGCAUAAAUAACUAAGGAACUAACUAAGAGUAAAUAAAUAAAUAAAUGUCUUCAAUUACACAAAUAACAAACAAA